rnacentral:rRNA from 1 species
ACUAAGUGAGCUACUUUAAAAUAGCCCCAGAGCCAACCCAUCUCUGUUGCAAUAGAGUGGGAUAAUUUUUAAGUAGAGGUGAUAAACCUAUCGAACUUAGAGAUAGCUGGUUUUUUAAGAAAAGAUUUUUAGUUCAGCCCUGAGUCUUCUAUUACACAAGAAUUAAACUAAACUCAGGAGUUAUUCAAAUAAGGCACAGCUUAUUUGAAACAGGAUACAACCUAGAAAAAAGGGUAAGACAAAUUUAAUCUCUGACAAGUGGGCCUGAAAGCAGCCACCUUUUAAAAAGCGUCAAAGCUUAACAUUAAUAAUUUUCUUAAUAUCUAAAUUAAUUUCUAACCCUUAUUUACUAUUAAAAAACUCCAUAAAAUUAUGGAAGUUAUUAUGCUAGAACAAGUAACAAGAAAAAGACUUUCUCCAAAAUGUAAGCUUAAGCCACAACAGACAAACUGAUGGCAAUUAACGUUUAUGAGUCACUUGUAGU